GAAAAAACCGGUAUAAAAUUUGUAUCUGCUGGCUGCUGCCUCUGGUGACCCGUUCGUCAUUCAACUCGAUCAUUGCAGCGGCCUUUUAACGUCCUUGAUUAUGUACAUACAUACACUCCUCAUUUUACACACUCUCUUUCCAAUUGACCUGCUUUUUUGCCAUUCUUCCGUUAUUCUGCCAAUUUUUCACAUCUUUUCAUCUGAAUUGCCGACUGAGAACCUGCAGGAAUUUCAGAACAUAAAUUCGCGCAUCCACUGAAAAUUCAUUGUGAGUUCUGCCGACAAUGGGUGGCAGAGGGAGAGAGGAUGAAGUCGCGUACGAGCUCAAAAAUAUCUACAGUGAGCGAGCUAAUUUGAAGAAGACCAUCAAGGAAUUGUUCCCACCGCAGCACAUAAAAGAUUGCCAUGAAGUAUCUGAAGGUCUCUGCAGCAAAACUGCUGUUGAUAUUUUAAGUUGCGAGGUGCGCCAAAUUUUGUGUGUCUAUCUGAGGGUUGCUGGCUUCGUGAGACGCAAUUGCUGCAGCAGCUGGCUGAACAGCGGCCCUUGCCUCUGUGGGAAAUUGCAGCUGAGUGGCGCAGUGAAGAUUACCUGCCUGAUGACCUGGAGGAUUACUUGCGGGACAAAUGGAAGGAAGACCUGGCCGGUUCAGUCCUGCAGGUCCCGUUGAAAGAGGUUGCGUGGUGGAACAAGAAAAAGCAGCCACGACAUAGGGAUUACAAACCUGCGACCUGUCCAAGUGCAAGAUGAGCAGCAUGGAGUUGCUUUGUUGGUAGCCAAUUCCUUAUGACACGCCACGAGUUCCGGAAUGCUAUUUUGUUGGACCCCUCAUUGAGAUUCUCGUAAAGCACAACAAGAAGGGCCAUCCUUUUAAGGCGCCGGCAUGUGACCUUGCGAAGAUUAGAUUUAGUUGCGUCCAGUUCGCCGUUCCUCCUAUUUUGGCUCUGAAGUACCACGAGAGAAACAUCCAAGGACUGCACAGCAUGAAGAUAUCUGCGUGGUUCGCCUCAUGGUCCCGUUCGGAAUGUAAUGAACCAUCUUUUGGCGUCUUCAAAAGACGUCAAUGCGGAGGGAAGGAAGCAACUGCAUGGUGGCCACAAGUCAGACUCUGUUAAAUUGGAACUGCAAUGAGGCUUUGCUGCCUCUCUGAAGACCAAAUAUCAGACGAAUUAGCUUUCCUCACCUGUUAGAUGUGUUCAGUCAAUUCCUGAUUAACAACACAAUCAGGCAGCAAUGGGGAUUGUUGUAGCCCUCUUUUCUAUUGUCAAGAUUGAAAGGGAGACCAUCUCCCUGCAAGUGUGGCCACUGCCUGUCGAAACUGUUUGAACUGGACGAAAACAUAAGUUGCUAUUGCUCUGGGCACCCAUUGAAUUUUGAGUACUACAAGAGCCCUUCACAGAAAAAAGAUCCAUCUAAUAAAAUUCAUGAUCCAAUUGGCUUGGCAGUUACAACUUUUGGAAAGAUCCUCCGUUGCUUGAAAACAGCGCCCAGAUGCCACUCUUCAAAGGUGAAAUAGCCAAUUGGACAUUUUAUUUAUAUGUGUCUAUAAUUAUAGGAUUACUUGGAAGUGAUGCUUACGCACUGGCUAGGAAUAAUUCGUGGAACAAGAAAGGGAAAUUCGUCAAAGAAGUGGUUUCUGCAAUGGCCUGCAUGGGAUACAUUAUUCCAUCAAUAACUGAACGUAGCAGAGUGGUCAACGCCUUGUAUUGGCGAGUGGCAAAUUUGAUGAGCCUCUGUGAGCAAUGAAAGGAGGAGAUUAUGCCAAAAUGGAUAUCAUCGGGGUAGAAUUGGAUGCCACUGCGUCUUCUUCUGCUGAACUGCACAAACACAUUCAAAGCACCUGAGCGCAAGUGCUUUCUGAGUCAGCUACGAUGACUUUUGUUGGAAGUUUGGUCUAUCUGUCUUAUGAAAUGUUUGAGAUGAAUCAUCUUCUGAGACUGGGUAUUUUACUUGGGAUUGUUGGCGACUUUGAACCAGUUUGGCCUCUGAAAGACAAAGGAGGAGAUUUCACUCACCUUUUUAACGUUCAUAAGAGUCACCAAGAAGGCAGAGUUGUCCAGACUUGGUGAUAAGUCAAUGGAAAAAGAUGAGUCUCUUAAAACAGAAGGUCCCAAGGAGGAUGAGUGUGGCGUAGGUGUCUGCGGCUCGUGGCUUCGGGAUCAACUUUCACUCCAAUUGAACUCCAUUUGGUCGAGCAAUGGAAAUGCUGCAGCCGCGAAGUGGGCUCCACUCCUACACUACCUCUACCCCUGCUACAUUCAUCUUUAUGAGGAACAGCCCCCAAAUGAAGACCUAGCUGCCUUGGCUUAUUCUUUGUUCUCAUUCACCAGCUCAUGUCAAGCCACAUGGACAUUCUCAAGGGAAAUGUCUGCACUGGAGAUGUCAAAAUGAUUGAAUUGCAGAUCAACAUGACUACACAGUCUGUCCAGGUUUUGUCGCUGUGACUUGAAUGAGGUCAUGUUUCUUUACACCUGCAGCAAAGAUUACUCUGGACGUUUUGGCAAGCGUUGUGUAACGCACGGCGUCUGAUUUCCCAGGAAAUGGCCAUGGCUUCAAUAAAGCUGCCAAAUGAUAGCUUUGGAAAUUGUGUUGCUGCCUUUAUCAGAGGAGAUUUUGAAAAGACAAAUUUGCUGAUCAAACCAAUCAUUCCGUUUGUUCUUUUUGCUGACGAUGUUUCUGUUUUAGUUCUAUUCAUAAUCUAAGGGCGAUUGUUAAUAAGGGCGACCUCUCUAGUUUAACGGAUUGCAAAUUUUGGACCUCUUCCAGCAGUGAUGGUGGCAAGAAGAAACCAUUCAAGGCCAAGAAAAGCUUUAAGCCUCCGAAGGAGGUUAUUCAAGCCCUGCGAGAGACACCAAAACAGCAAAGUGAAGCCCUGCAAGAGACACAAAAACCGUAAAAAGAAAUUGAAGAGCACACUUGCACCGCCUGCAUGAAAUCUGUCAACAAGAAUUUCUUAACCUGUGAAGAAUGCCUGAAAACUGGGUUCCCAAAUGCCGAGGCCAGCAGCAGCCGCUGAGACACCUGCUCUCUCAGAUGGGGUCCAAGCCAUUCCCAGAGGAUGAUCGCCGCUCAACAUGAACUACCGGUCCAACUCGCCUGUACAACCAAAUGUUGUUGCCUCAUUGUCAGUCGCACACGCAACUUGUCCAGAAAAACCAAAUCCAACACCAGCACCUCCAGCCGAGGGUGAACCAGCAGCAGCAGCAGUAACAAAUGCUGCAACACCAGAUGCACCAACAGCAACUACAGCAGCAGCAAAUGCAACACAAACGCCAGCAGCAGCAUCAACAGCAACUCUUGAUGCAGCAACAGCUGCAGAAACUCCCGUCAAGCAUCACAAUUAAUCACUCUCCUGGAGUUACAAAAUGUUAUCAUUCAAUAAAGCAUUGAGAUAGUCGACGAGGCUUUCGGCAUCAGUCUUCAUAAGUAUCACCAAGUGUUUGGAGUCAUUCAACCGACAUCAAAAUGCAUAAUUGGGGAGCCAUCACCAUAGCAAGAUUGUUUGCUUCCAUCUUUGUCAUUUGGAAUACCUCUAUCUAGUCUGGUGAAUAUCUACAUAGAAAUCUUACCAGGUAGAACAACACAAGAGUUUGUUGAGCUUAAGUAGCAUCUGGACAAUAUGAUGGCACGCCGCUGGAUGGUCAUGGAAUUUGAAAGCUAGAAGAUCUUGGCGCAGUGAAUAAUCUGAACCAUAAAGAGGCCACUUCCAAAUUCUGAGAAGUUUAUGCAUUAUUAAAAUAUUUUUUAAAAACAAAAUUAUUUUUAGGAAAUAGCUGUUUCGGCUAAUGAAGCCUCGUCAGCAGUACUUUGUCAAAUAAUAAAUUAAGUAUAAUAUGAAUUGAUGUUAAGUUAUAUAAACCCUACUCUAGAGCAAAACAAGAAUUCAAUCGAAAUUAUUGUGAUAACUCAAAUUUUGAAUUCACACUAAAAAUCAGCUAAACUUUCAAUUUUAUACAGGAAAAAAUUAAAUGAACUUUUUAAAUAUUUGACUAUGUACUGGACAGCUAUAUCCUAAAUAACUGUCAUUAAAGGCCGAAAUUAAUGGUCUAUAUAGGUAUUAGCAAAGGCCAGAAAGCCAAUGCUAAUGUAAAAACCUCAAAUCUCGUCUUUAAUCUAAGUCUACUAGUUAUAAUAAAACCUACGCACGCCAUAAUCACACUAGAUUCAAAUUAAUCCUGCUAUAUACAAAUAUAUACAAGUGGAAUUUCCUGUUCAGGUCCCUUCAGCUCAAGCCGGCCACGGUGGACAACAAUCGCAGGGUUCCAAUCGAGCAGAGUUCCCGAAGUACCUCGUUUUUCUGGAAUAACUCAGAGGGAAACUGCAAGGACACCCAGCCAGGAUGCCCUUGUGGAUGCUGCGCAAGUGCUCCUCAUCAAAGAUGCCCUUAAGCUUGGAUUCUACAACUGAAAACUGAUUAGGGUCGAUGGAGACAAACCUCACCUUUUUGAGCAGCCGGUGGAAAAAAAAGGGCGCCGGUACCGGUGCCCCUGAGGCGUCGAAAACGUGCCAUCCCCAGGAUAGAGCCGCGUCCAGCAGAUGCAGCUCAGUGAGGUCGGCAGGGAACUUGUCCAAGCUAAGCACAGCCUCCAAACUCUUGACGUGCGAAACCCUCCACGUGUCGGACUCGAAGACUGGCAUCGGGUCGUCCGACACCUGCAUCAAAAGCCGCUGCGACAGCAGUGGGUAGAGGUCCUUUUUGCCAGUUGUCUCCAGGAGAUCGUAAAGCAGGAAGGCGUCGAGAGCGGUAUCGCACACGAGGUGGUGCUGCACCUCCUGGCACAGAGAAGAAUCAACUUGUGGAAGCUUAUUUGAGUGGAGGAGGGAGAGAGCAGCGCUCACGGCCUCGAUGUCCGCACGACAGAAUGCCUCCAGCUCGACGAACGGGCCUUCAGACAAGGCGCUGGCCAGGCCUGGGCUGGUGGACGUCAGAGCAUCGGUGUGCACCCUGAAGAUGGCGGCGAGUGGUCCGUCAACCAGCCGAACGAAGAUGGCCGCGUUGGGCUUGGCGUGUUGGUGAGGUCCAUCCUGGGCUGCUGCACCAGGGUGACGCCCUGAGCAGACUUGGUGGAGGAGCCUGUGAAGUUGGAGCUGCUCUUGCUCGACGACUGGUUGCCCACUGAGAUGUACGAGCGGCGCUUCAGGUCCGAGGUGCUGUCCGGGCUGACGUCCUGCUUGCCGACUGGCGAGUGCGACCGGUACGACGGAGGCAUCAGCACGGCCGACGACAGCUUCGUCUCCACGCACCUGCAGGAUGAACAGAGUGACCCUGUAAUUAUUUUUAUUAAUAAAUCCUGAUUUUUUCUAUUCAAUUUUAAUUCUAAUUUGUU